UACAGAGGUGGCAAGCGUUGUUCGGAUUUAUUGGGUGUAAAGGGCAGGUAGGCGGCUUGGUAAGUCUGCUGUGAAAUCCAAGGGCUCAACCCUUGAACUGCAGUGGAAACUGCCUUGCUUGAGUACUGAAGGGGUAAGGGGAAUUCUCGGUGUAAGGGUGAAAUCUGUAGAUAUCGAGAGGAAUACCGAUGGCGAAGGCACCUUACUGGUCAGUAACUGACGCUGAACUGCGAAAGCUAGGGGAGCAAACAGG
rnacentral:misc_RNA from 1 species